CUCGUAAGUGGCCAACUAAGUCAGACGUGAAAUCCCCAGGCUUAACCUGGGAACUGCGUCUGAUACUGGAUGGCUUGAAUUCGGGAGAGGGAUGCAGAAUUCCAGGUGUAGCGGUGAAAUGCGUAGAUAUCUGGAGGAAUACCGGUGGCGAAGGCGGCAUCCUGGACCGAGAUUGACACUGAUGAGCGAAAGCCAGGGGAGCAAACG
rnacentral:rRNA from 1 species